GGCUGGUUCGAGUGCAGUGAUAUUUAAAACUAAUUGACACAACCAGAUACAGAUUUAUUUGUUCCUUCUCCACUCCCACUGCUUCACUUGACUAGCCGUAA
ensembl:misc_RNA Y_RNA Y RNA